AACCUAUGCCGAGGAAAUUUCCGUAGGAGAUCCUUGAACCUAUCCCAUGUCUUAAAAAGAGACUCUAAUUCCAUUUGCACAAAAGAGGAUAUUUCAUUCCUGAGCAU